rnacentral:rRNA from 1 species
ACGCUCGACACCUACGGAAGGCAGCAGUGAGGAAUAUUGGUCAAUGGGCGCUAGCCUGAACCAGCCAAGUAGCGUGAAGGAUGAAGGCUCUAUGGGUCGUAAACUUCUUUUAUAUAAGAAUAAAGUGCAGUAUGUAUACUGUUUUGUAUGUAUUAUAUGAAUAAGGAUCGGCUAACUCCGUGCAAGCAGCCGCGGUAAUCUGAGCGGGCUGGCAAGGC